rnacentral:rRNA from 1 species
GAUGAACGCUAGCUACAGGCUUUACACAUGCAAGUCGAGGGGUCUUUUGGAGCUUGCUUUGAAAGACGACCGGCGCACGGGUGAGUAACGCGUAUCCAACCUGCCCUUCAUAUUGGGAUAGCCUUCCGAAAGGAAGAUUAAUACCGAAUAACAUGAUAGAGUUGCCUGAUUUUAUCAUGAAAGCUCCGGCGAUGAAGGAUGGGGAUGCGUUCCAUUAGGUAGUAGGCGGGGUAACGGCCCACCUAGCCGACGAUGGAUAGGGGUUCUGAGAGGAAGGUCCCCCACACUGGAACUGAGACACGGUCCAGACUCCUACGGGAGGCAGCAGUGAGGAAUAUUGGUCAAUGGGCGCAAGCCUGAACCAGCCAAGUAGCGUGAAGGAUGACUGCCCUAUGGGUUGUAAACUUCUUUUAUACGGGAACAAACCCCGGUACGUGUACCGGAUUGCGUGCACCGUAUGAAUAAGCAUCGGCUAACUCCGUGCCAGCCGCCGCGGUAAAAC